GAGAUAAUGUUUGGCUUUAUGUGAUGAUUGGAUUUGGCAUGGUGUAUUUUGUGUAUUGGAGGUUUCAGAUGGGUCAGCUUGUGAAGCAUAUGAACAAAAAGAUCAAUUGAUUAUUUCUAAGUUUAUAGUUUC